rnacentral:rRNA from 1 species
GACGCAGCAACGCCGCGUGGGGGAAGAAGGCCUUCGGGUUGUAAACCCCUUUCAGGAGGGACGAAGGUGCGACGGUGAACAGCCGCUCGCACUGACGGUACCUCCAGAAGAAGCCCCGGCUAACUCCGUGCCAGCAGCUGCGGUAAUACGGAGGGUGCAAGCAUUAAUCGGAUUUAUUGGGCGUAAAGGGCGCGUAGGCGGGAAGAUAAGUCAGAUGUGAAAUCCCGGGGCUCAACCCCGGAACAGCAUUUGAUACUGUUUUUCUUGAGGGUAGGCGGAGAAAAUGGAAUUCCACAAGUAGCGGUGAAAUGCGUAGAUAUGUGGAAGAACACCAGUGGCGAAGGCGAUUUUCUAGCUUAUUCCUGACGCUGAGGCGCGAAAGCAAGGGGAGCAAACAGGAUUAGAUACCCUGGUAGUCCUUGCCCUAAACGAUGUAUACUAGGUGUAGCUGGACUCAACCCCGGCUGUGCCGUAGCGAACGCGUUAAGUAUACCGCCUGGGGAGUACAGUCGCAAGGCUG